CCUACGGGAGGCAGCAGUGAGGAAUAUUGGUCAAUGGCCGGAAGGCUGAACCAGCCAUGCCGCGUGAAGGUCAGUGCCCUAUGGGCGUUAAACUUCUUUUGUGCGGGAGCAAUAAUGGUCACGUGUGGCCAGACGAGAGUACCGUACGAAUAAGCAUCGGCUAACUCCGUGCCAGCAGCCGCGGUAAUACGGGGGAUGCAAGCGUUAUCCGGAUUUAUUGGGUUUAAAGGGUGCGUAGGCUGUGAGGUAAGUCAGCGGUGAAAUGCCACCGCGCAACGGGGUGAAGUGCCAUUGAUACUGCCUUGCUGGAAUGCGGAUGCCGUGGGAGGAAUGUGUGGUGUAGCGGUGACAUGCAUAGAUAUCACACAGAACACCGAUUGCGAAGGCAUCUCACGAAUCCGCGAUUGACGCUGAUGCACGAAAGCGUGGGUAUCAAACAGGAUUAGAUACCCCAGUAGUC
rnacentral:rRNA from 1 species